ACGGUAAGGACCCGCUUGCGGGUUACACGAGUGGCGCACGGGUGAGUAACGCGUAUGCAACCUACCCUUAACAGGGGGAUAGCCCGAAGAAAUUCGGAUUAAUACCCCAUAACACUGCGAUAUCUCCUGAUAUUGUAGUUAAAACUCCGGUGGUUAAGGAUGGGCAUGCGUGACAUUAGAUAGUUGGUAAGGUAACGGCUUACCAAGUCUACGAUGUCUAGGGGGCCUGAGAGGGUGGUCCCCCACACUGGUACUGAGACACGGACCAGACUCCUACGGGAGGCAGCAGUGAGGAAUAUUGCGCAAUGGACGAAAGUCUGACGCAGCCAUGCCGCGUGCAGGAUGACGGCCCUAUGGGUUGUAAACUGCUUUUUUACAGGAAGAACUCCUCCUACGUGUAGGGGGCUGACGGUACUGUAUGAAUAAGCAUCGGCUAACUCCGUGCCAGCAGCCGCGGUAAUACGGAGGAUGCAAGCGUUAUCCGGAUUUAUUGGGUUUAAAGGGUGCGUAGGCGGGAUAAUAAGUCAGUGGUGAAAUACUGCAGCUUAACUGUAGAACUGCCAUUGAUACUGUUAUUCUUGAGUGCGAUUGAGGUAGGCGGAAUGUGUAAUGUAGCGGUGAAAUGCUUAGAUAUUACACAGAACACCGAUUGCGUAGGCAGCUUACUAAGUCGUAACUGACGCUGAGGCACGAAAGCGUGGGGAUCGAACAGGAUUAGAUACCCUGGUAGUCCACGCUGUAAACGAUGAUCACUAGCUGUUGGCGAUAGACCGAUCAGCGGC
rnacentral:rRNA from 1 species